rnacentral:rRNA from 1 species
UACGUAGGGUGCUAGCGUUGUCCGGAUUUAUUGGGCGUAAAGAGCUCGUAGGCGGCUUGUCGCGUCGAAUGUGAAAUCUCAGGGCUCAACUCUGACAUUGCAUUCGAUACGGGCAGGCUAGAGUCGGUAGGGGAGACUGGAAUUCCUGGUGUAGCGGUGAAAUGCGCAGAUAUCAGGAGGAACACCGAUGGCGAAGGCAGGUCUCUGGGCCGAUACUGACGCUGAGGAGCGAAAGCGUGGGGAGCGAACAGG